rnacentral:tRNA from 1 species
GGAGGUGUAGCUCAGUGACAGAGUACUUUCCUAGCAUGUAUGUACAUAGGUCCUGGGUUCAAUUCUCAGCAUCACCC